UACAGAGGUCCCCAAGCGUUGUUCGGAUUUACUGGGCGUAAAGGGAGCGUAGGUGGCAGGCAAAGUCUAAUGUGAAAUCUCCGAGCUUAACUCGGAAAAUGCAUUGGAUACUGGCUUGCUCGAGGAUUGGAGGGGAGACUGGAAUACUUGGUGUAGCAGUGAAAUGCGUAGAUAUCAAGUGGAACACCAGUGGCGAAGGCGAGUCUCUGGACAAUUCCUGACACUGAUGCUCGAAAGCUAGGGGAGCAAACGGGAUUAGAUACCCCAGUAGU
rnacentral:rRNA from 1 species